AGAAUGUGUACAGUGGGAGCAAUCACUUUUCCUAUAUAACUCUAGUAUGGCUUCACGUAUAAUCAUGAACUAUUUACAUACAUUAUAUCUGUGCAGGAACAACCAUAUUUAACACAGUCCUUCAGUGAAAAGAUUCUUGUCAGUCUUCUUGGGGGGAAGAUUGUUAUCUACAAAGCAAGCAUUCUGUCUGAAUAUAAGAAAAAGGCACCUGGAAAAGAAAGGACUUUUAAUUUUUCGUUAAAGAGUAUACAAGAAACGUGGAGCAGAUAUCUUGAAUUUAAGUGAAAGCAUCUCCAAGCACUGUCUGAGGGAAUUACUUAGUGCUCACUCCUUGGACCAAGCGCUUCACGCCGAAUUACUAGCAUCACUCCAAACUUCUCUGUGUGGUGGUUUGCCAUCUGAGGUUGGUUGGGUUAGUCAUUC
rnacentral:lncRNA from 1 species